rnacentral:rRNA from 1 species
GCCAGCAGCCAUAUCAUCCUGCAACUUACAACUGGCAACCCACUGGCAAGCUCAGCAGGUGUGAGCCUGGUCAGUACCUGGAUGGGAGACCUAGGAAAAACUAAGGUUGCUGCUGGAA